UACGAAGGGGGCUAGCGUUGCUCGGAAUGACUGGGCGUAAAGGGCGCGUAGGCGGCGUGUACAGUCAGAAGUGAAAUUCCUGGGCUCAACCUGGGGACUGCUUUUGAUACGUGCAUGCUAGAGUGAGGAAGAGGGUUGUGGAAUUUCCAGUGUAGAGGUGAAAUUCGUAGAUAUUGGAAAGAACACCGGUGGCGAAGGCGGCAACCUGGUCCUUUACUGACGCUGAGGCGCGAAAGCGUGGGGAGCAAACAGG
rnacentral:rRNA from 1 species